CCGUCCAGCCUUCAAUUACUGCUCCUCUUGCCAAAGUUGUGGUAGAGGGCUUGGGGCGGACGUAGAUCAAACUGUCUCUUAAAUUAGGAGGGCUUCUUGGAGCAUUGAGCUGUCCUCAAGGGCGGAAGAGAACACC